GCUGUAGGAAGGAUCAGUGGGAGCGGGGGGGUCUCUCCCCUUCUGCCCCCUGCCCAGGGCUGCGGGCGGCCGUGCAACUGGUCGAGUCCGGAGGGGGCCUCCAGCCCCCCGGGGGGUCCCUGGGUCUCCUCUGCAAGGCGUCCGGCUUCGACUUCGGCAGCUACGGCAUGUUCUGGGUGCGACAGGCGCCCGGGAAGGGGCUCGAGUUCGUCGCGGGUAUUAACAGCGAUGGUAGUUGGACAGGUUACGCGCCGUCGGUCAAGGGACGCUUCACCAUCGCGAGGGACAACUCCCAGAGCACGGUCACGCUGCAGAUGAACAGCCUCAGGGCCGACGACACGGCCACCUACUACUGCGGGAAACAGGAUGAUGGUGAUGGUGGCACCGACGCUGGCACCGAGCCCCAAGAUCCCUGCGCUUUCUGA